UAAGGAAUAUUGGUCAAUGGACGCAAGUCUGAACCAGCCAUGCCGCGUGGAGGAUGAAGGCCCUCUGGGUUGUAAACUUCUUUUAUGGGGGACGAAAUCACUUAUUCUUAAGUGUCUGACGGUACCCCAGGAAUAAGCACCGGCUAACUCCGUGCCAGCAGCCGCGGUAAUACGGAGGGUGCAAGCGUUAUCCGGAUUCACUGGGUUUAAAGGGUGCGUAGGAGGGCAGGGGGAAGUCAGUGGUGAAAUCUCCGGGCUUAACUCGGAAACUGCCGUUGAUACUCUCUGUCUUGAAUCCCGUGGAGGUGAGCGGAAUAUGUCAUGUAGCGGUGAAAUGCUUAGAUAUGACAUAGAACACCAAUUGCGAAGGCAGCUCACUACACGAAGAUUGACUCUGAGGCACGAAAGCGUGGGGAUCAAACAGGAUUAGAUACCCUGGUAGUCCACGCCCUAAACGAUGGAUACUCGACAUACGCGAUACACUGUGUGUGUCUGAGCGAAA
rnacentral:rRNA from 1 species